UUUACGUUAAUUUUCUUGUUUAUUUAAUUAUUAAAAUUCAUUUUAGCUGUCGGUAUUUCAAAAGAAAAAAUUGAGCAUUGGAGUGAUAACAUGUUGUUGAUUGAGUAAAAGUUGUUGUCGGGUAAUGAAAUUUGCUGGUAUAAGUUUUUUGUGAAUGGUUUAAGAGAAAGGGGCCAUAAGGAAACCAAUUAUUUGUUUGUUAAAUGGUAGAUAUAGAUAAAAUCAUUAUAUAUGUUAACAACAUAACGUGAUUGUUUUAAAAUGAUACACAUUUCGUUUAUUUCUUUUCCAUAUUCAUGGAGCAAAAAUGUUAAUAUUGACACGGUAAGGUGAUUUAGUUUGUGCCGUAUAAACAUAGUAAAAUAACAUAAAUCGCCUAUCGUUGACGAGUAUAUUAUGGAAAGAGAAAAUCGCAAAUAUAGAUAUAGACACAAGGUACAGGCAUCUUUUUACCUUCUUUUUACGAAAUCUCAUUUUUUUCAUGAAUAAAGAAAUACCAUCUUGACAAUCAAGCUAUUUACAGUAACCAUGUCUAUUAGUUAUACAAUUAAUCCAAACCUAGUCACUAUUUUCAUUUGCAGCAAAGAAGAUUUUGAAUAUUCUAAUCCAAGAAAUUUCACGAAUUCCGAAAUUUAUAAUGAGAUCUUUUAUAAAGUGAACGAAAGAAAGCUGCGAAAAUAUUGAUUUUAGAAUAUAAUAUGCAAUUGAAAUAUUUUUACCGUUCAGACAUUAUCCUACAAAGCAAGUUUAUUGGUUGUAUUAUAUAUAAUCUAGUAUGUUAUACUGGUUGUCUGAAUAAGAAAGUCAAUUUUGGUUUAAAAAUAUUUAAGAAAAAUGAUAAAAUUGUAUGUCUCUUAAUCAUAGGAAUUUAUACGACAUUCCUCCUUUGCCUGCCGAGGAAGCUAACUUUAAAAUUGUACCAGGAAAUCAGGAGAAAUAUGUUUUAAAUUCGAAAUGUUGUUGGGCAAUGGUUAAUAUUGAACUGAGGGGUACUUUAAUGAUUUACAUGAAUCGUACAUGUAUGUGUGUACAAGCAGUGUUUAAGUCAUAUAAAGACGAAAUGUGAGAAAGAAAAACAAUUUAAGCAUCACUUUAUCGUCAGAUAUUUAUUAAGAAAAAAAAACAUCCUUUUGUGCAAGCAUAUAACAUGUGAAAUAAAAGUGGAGGAAAAUCGAA